UGCAGAAAAAGAGAAGAGAGACCAGAGAGUAAAUACAAAGGAAAGAAUGAACCUCCGGCAGAGAGGAACUGGAAACAGUCAGAGAAGGUGGAAGAAAGAAGUGAAGAAAGAGGGAGUGAGAGAAAAUACCCCAGGUGAAAGACAACUUUUAGGUGUAAUGGAGAAAUGAGACUUUUCCACAUGCAAUUUGAAAAUCAGUAAGGUGGAGAUAUAUAGAGAGGUGCUUUCAGAAGACAGGAACUGGAAAGAACCUCUUGUGCUACUAACAACUGAGCUGCGUGAUGGGGAAGAGAGAUGGUCAUAACGAGGUCUUCCUGUCGAAGAUCAGGAGCCUGCACUCACUUCCAAGAAGACAACAGGAGCC